UACGGGGGGGGCAAGCGUUGUUCGGAAUUACUGGGCGUAAAGGGCUCGUAGGCGGCCGCUUAAGUCAGACGUGAAAUCCCUCGGCUCAACCGGGGCACUGCGUCUGAGACUGAAUGGCUUGAAUCCGGGAGAGGGAUGCGGAAUUCCAGGUGUAGCGGUGAAAUGCGUAGAUAUCGGAAAGAACACCAACGGCGAAAGCACUCUGCUGGGCCGACACUGACACUGAGAGACGAAAGCUAGGGGAGCGAAUGGG
rnacentral:rRNA from 1 species